CUCAUCAUCUCUCUCGCCUGCUGUCUCCUCUCUCUCUCUAUCGAUUCUUGAAUGGAAUCAUAGAAAUUGUUGGAAAAAUCAAGUUCUAUGAGAGGAUUUUGAGUAAUUAAGUUUAGGUUGAAGGAUUGGGAGAUUAGAGAAGAAAGCCCCUAAUUGAUUCUUCAGAGAAAGGGGCUGCAAGAAGGUUUUAUCAAUGGAGUCUUGACGAUCCGAAAGUAUUGUUGGGAAACUUGAGAAGCAAGCUUCCCGAUGGUGAAGUAUUUCGCCGGCGGAGGUCACCGGUGGUCGGAAGACGGCAAGAAGUGCAGCCUGCCCCUGAACUUUAGGAGUCGAUUUGAGUUAUGUCGGCAAAAUUCAGAGAAAUGAAGAACUGCUGCCGCACCUGUUUUCGGAGCAGAAUUUGGAGGGUUUGGAGUGCAAAUUUGGGAAUCAUUCCUUGACGAAACUCGUAGAGGACCUCGAAAACUAUUGGUAUCGAGCGUACUGACUUGAGCAUGACUCGAGAGUAAGGUGUUUUUAUAGCACUUGCAUUGGACUUCAGUAACAGGUGCAUUAGUGGACGAUAUUGUUGAUGGCUCUUAGGAGUAGAAGUUAUUCAGAGAUUUUAGAGAGUUUAAUCUAGUGUUGUGUUUAAGAAUGAUUGUAAUUCGAGAACUAUGAAUACGAGAUUAGUUGUGGCAUUUGGUUGUCACGUGUAUUUGAUAUUAUUGUUCAGAAAUUAAGUAGGAAACAUUGUAUUUA